AAAAAAGUUUUCGGUACGUGACCUGCGGAGGAUCAUUACCUAGAGUUAGUGGGCUUUGCCAGCUAUCUCUUACCCAUGUUUUAUGAGCACUUACGUUUCCCCAGUGGGUUCCCCCACCGAUUGGACCACUUAAACCCUUUGCAGUUUUGUAAUCAUCGUCUGAAAAACUUAAUAUUUACAACUUUCAACAACGGAUCUCUUGGUUCGGGCAUCGAUGAAGAACGCAGCGAAAUGCGAUAAGUAGUGUGAAUUGCAGAAUUCAGUGAAUCAUCGAAUCUUUGAACGCACAUUGCGCCCCUUGGUAUUCCAUGGGGCAUGCCUGUUCGAGCGUCAUUUGUACCUUCAAGCUCUGCUUGGUGUUGGGUGUUUGUCUCGCCUCUGCUUGUAGACUCGCCUUAAAACAAUUGGCAGCCGGCGUAUUGAUUUCGGAGCGCAGUACAUCUCGCGCUUUGCACUCGUAACGACGACCUCCAAAAGUACAUUUUUACACUCUUGACCUCGGAUCAGGUAGGGAUACCCGCUGAACUUAACAAAAUACCC
rnacentral:rRNA from 1 species